rnacentral:rRNA from 1 species
AACGAACGCUGGCGGCAUGCCUAACACAUGCAAGUCGAACGAGACCUUCGGGGCUAGUGGCGCACGGGUGGGUAACGCGUGGGAACCUGCCCUUAGGUUCGGAAUAACUUCCCGAAAGAGGUCCUAAUACCGGAUAAUGUAUUCCGACCAAAGAUUUAUCGCCUUUGGAUGGGCCCGCGUUGGAUUAGCUAGUUGGUAGGGUAAAAGCCUACCAAGGCGACGAUCCAUAGCUGGUGUGAGAGGAUGAUCAGCCACACUGGGCCUGGGACACGGCGCAGACUCCUACGGGAGGCAGCAGUGGGGAAUAUUGGACAAUGGGCGAGAGCCUGAUCCAGCAAUGCCGCGUGAGUGAUGAAGGCCUGAGGGUUGUAAAGCUCUUUUACCCGUGAUGAUAAUGACAGUACCGGGAGAAUAAGCUCCGGCUAACUCCGUG